CCUACGGGGGGCAGCAGUAGGGAAUCUUCGGCAAUGGACGAAAGUCUGACCGAGCAACGCCGCGUGAGUGAAGAAGGUUUUCGGAUCGUAAAACUCUGUUGUUAGAGAAGAACAAGGAUGAGAGUAACUGUUCAUCCCUUGACGGUAUCUAACCAGAAAGCCACGGCUAACUACGUGCCAGCAGCCGCGGUAAUACGUAGGUGGCAAGCGUUGUCCGGAUUUAUUGGGCGUAAAGCGAGCGCAGGCGGUUUCUUAAGUCUGAUGUGAAAGCCCCCGGCUCAACCGGGGAGGGUCAUUGGAAACUGGGAGACUUGAGUGCAGAAGAGGAGAGUGGAAUCCCAUGUGUAGCGGUGAAAUGCGUAGAUAUAUGGAGGAACACCAGUGGCGAAGGCGGCUCUCUGGUCUGUAACUGACGCUAAGGCUCGAAAGCGUGGGGAGCAAACAGGAUUAGAUACCCCAGUAGUC
rnacentral:rRNA from 1 species